rnacentral:rRNA from 1 species
UACAGAGGUCUCAAGCGUUGUUCGGAUUCAUUGGGCGUAAAGGGCGCGUAGGCGGUCGUGACAAGUCACUUGUGAAAUCUCCGGGCUUAACUCGGAACGGUCAAGUGAUACUGUCGGACUAGAGUACAGAAGGGGCAACUGGAAUUCUCGGUGUAGCGGUGAAAUGCGUAGAUAUCGAGAGGAACACCUGCGGCGAAGGCGGGUUGCUGGGCUGAUACUGACGCUGAGACGCGAAAGCGUGGGGAGCGAACCGG